rnacentral:rRNA from 1 species
UCCUACGGGGGGCAGCAGUAGGGAAUUUUCGUCAAUGGGCGCAAGCCUGAACGAGCAAUGCCGCGUGAACGAGAAAGGUCUUCGGAUCGUAAAGUUCUGUUGAAGGGGAAAAAGAGCGGAGAGAGGAAAUGGUCUCCGAUUGAUAUUACCCUUCGAGGAAGUCACGGCUAACUACGUGCCAGCAGCCGCGGUAAUACGUAGAUGGCGAGCGUUAUCCGGAAUGAUUGGGCGUAAAGGGUGCGUAGGCGGCCUGCUAAGUCUGAAGUGAAAGGUACCGGCUCACCCGGCACAGGCUCUGGAAACUG